CCCAGGCUUGCGCCGGAUUCCUCGGUCCCGGGCGGCGUUUGCGACGAGGGGCUAUAACACAGCCGGAGCUGCCACCUUCCCCUCGCCAUUGUCCGCCGCUCGAAACCGAUGCUGGCCCGUCGAGCCGGAAAGUGCACCAAGCAGAAGCAAGGCUGAGUUCCGGCA
rnacentral:rRNA from 1 species